GUAGGGUGCGAGCGUUGUCCGGAAUUAUUGGGCGUAAAGAGCUCGUAGGCGGUUUGUCGCGUCGACUGUGAAAACCCGGGGCUUAACUCCGGGCCUGCAGUCGAUACGGGCAGACUAGAGUUCGGUAGGGGAGACUGGAAUUCCUGGUGUAGCGGUGAAAUGCGCAGAUAUCAGGAGGAACACCGGUGGCGAAGGCGGGUCUCUGGGCCGAUACUGACGCUGAGGAGCGAAAGCGUGGGGAGCGAACAGGAUUAGAUACCCUGGUAGUCCACGCCGUAAACGUUGGGCGCUAGGUGUGGGGGUCUUUCCACGAUCUCCGUGCCGCAGCUAACGCAUUAAGCGCCCCGCCUGGGGAGUACGGCCGCAAGGCUAAA
rnacentral:rRNA from 1 species